rnacentral:rRNA from 1 species
UGCAGUCGAGCGGAUGAAGGGAGCUUGCUCCUGGAUUCAGCGGCGGACGGGUGAGUAAUGCCUAGGAAUCUGCCUGGUAGUGGGGGAUAACGUCCGGAAACGGGCGCUAAUACCGCAUACGUCCUGAGGGAGAAAGUGGGGGAUCUUCGGACCUCACGCUGUCAGAUGAGCCUAGGUCGGAUUAGCUAGUUGGUGGGGUAAAGGCCUACCAAGGCGACGAUCCGUAACUGGUCUGAGAGGAUGAUCAGUCACACUGGAACUGAGACACGGUCCAGACUCCUACGGGAGGCAGCAGUGGGGAAUAUUGGACAAUGGGCGAAAGCCUGAUCCAGCCAUGCCGCGUGUGUGAAGAAGGUCUUCGGAUUGUAAAGCACUUUAAGUUGGGAGGAAGGGCAGUAAGUUAAUACCUUGCUGUUUUGACGUUACCAACAGAAUAAGCACCGGCUAACUUCGUGCCAGCAGCCGCGGUAAUACGAAGGGUGCAAGCGUUAAUCGGAUUUACUGGGCGUAAAGCGCGCGUAGGUGGUUCAGCAAGUUGGAUGUGAAAUCCCCGGGCUCAACCUGGGAACUGCAUCCAAAACUACUGAGCUAGAGUACGGUAGAGGGUGGUGGAAUUUCCUGUGUAGCG